rnacentral:rRNA from 1 species
UGGUGGAGCGAUUUGUCUGGUUAAUUCCGAUAACGAACGAGACUCUGGCCUAUUAAAUAGUUCGCCGAUUCCGAUCUGUCGGCGUUAACUUCUUAGAGGGACAAUGGCUUUUAGCCACGCGAGAUUGAGCAAUAACA